ACGCUCGACACCUAGAGGCAGCAGUGGGGAAUAUUGCACAAUGGGGGAAACCCUGAUGCAGCAACGCCGCGUGAAGGAAGACGGUUUUCGGAUUGUAAACUUCUGUUCUUAGUGAAGAUAGUGACGGUAGCUAAGGAGCAAGCCACGGCUAACUACGUGCAAGCAGCCGCGGUAAUCUGAGCGGGCUGGCAAGGC
rnacentral:rRNA from 1 species